rfam:Desulfosporosinus lacus DSM 15449 genome assembly, contig: EJ50DRAFT_scaffold00010.10
UUUUUGGAGAGUUUGAUCCUGGCUCAGGACGAACGCUGGCGGCGUGCCUAACACAUGCAAGUCGAACGGAGAAUUUCAAUAAGUUUACUUAGAGAAAUUUUUAGUGGCGGACGGGGGAGUAACGCGUGGGUAACCUACCCAUAAAGCCGGGACAACCCUUGGAAACGAGGGCUAAUACCGGAUAAUCUUUGAGCUUGGCAUCAAGUUUAAAGGAAAGGUGGCCUCUGAAUAUGCUACCGAUUAUGGAUGGACCCGCGUCUGAUUAGCUAGUUGGUGGGGUAAAGGCCUACCAAGGCGACGAUCAGUAGCCGGCCUGAGAGGGU